GCGCGGGUGGCGGAAUUGGUAGACGCGCAGCCUUGAGGGGGCUGUGGGAAUUAUUUCCUGUAUGGGUUCGAGUCCCAUCCCGCGCA
rnacentral:tRNA from 1 species